ACAUUUUAGGUCCUUGACUCUGGACUUCCCUUCACUAACAUAGAUAGUUAAGAUUUGGUUAUUUUAUUCCCACUGAAUCCCAUUCUCUUUGGGUGUGGAAGGCAAAUGUAUAUCCAAUGUCUUUCGUCUCCCUGGAGUCCAUGGGUAAGGUGUAGGCCCAUCUACCUCAUGCCUCAUGGACCCUCCUGUGAGCUGAGGACUGUGGUAAUCACAGUAAAUGGUUUAACAAUGUUGCUUUGGCGGUACGGGAAAUUUUGUUUGUAAAAUAAUUUCUGAAUAGUUGAUUCAUGUGCAUGGUACACAGUUCAAAGGCACAGAGGAGUGUCAUGCAUAGAGAUAAAGAGGUCAUUCAUUCUCUUACUCAUGGCCCCAGCUAUCUGUGAGCUCAUUAUCCUCAUAGCAACUGUGGGUACUGUUUCUCAAAGGAGAACCCACCUCCCCGGUGCAUGUACCCAGGCCUCAGGCCAACACACCACACGGGCCUUCCAGGGAUCUCCAGUAUUUUGGAGAAGCUGCAUAGAGCUCCUAGAUAGAGGUGUACCACAUCUGCUCUGGUCCUGCUGGGAGGCAGCAGCUCACUAGCUGACUAGAUCUGCCUGUCCAGACUGAGCUGGUUCUGUCAGCUUCACCUACGGAGUGGGGAGGCUGAGCCGACUCUGCUCUUCUCAGACUACUAGCGAAGCAGAUGAGGUAAGGCUGAGAGUUCUCUGGGAAAACAGAAGACCAACACCAACUGAAUGCAGAAAACUGAACAUGGCUUGCCUCACUGGGGACCCCGGAUGGGAUAAAUAUUUUCUUUGGAUAUUCAGAAGUCUGUAAUGCUUAAAUAGCUUUUGUAUGAGUAAGGCAUAAAUGUAAAAAUAAAGGAGUAUGGGGCUACUAUCACAAGUUCAAAUUAGUUGGCUCUGCUAUUUGAAACCCUCAGAAGUCCAGGAACCCUUAGAAUUUGGGUAGUCCCGUGCCCCACUGUAGGCAAUGAGUGUUUUUGUUGGCAUCUUGUUGAUGAGACAGGGGUAAAACAUGGAAAAAGCAGUAUCUCGUUUGUGUAGUGGAUGGCUGGUAUCAUCUUCUGGAGUAAUAUGUGGGCCACGGGGGCCAGCCCAGGAGGACUGUAAGCUCCUUGUAGUUUGUCCUCUUCUCUAGACUUUGGGAAGCAUGCUAGGUAUCGAGAGUCCGAGUAUGUGUGCUAGCUAGGGCCUCAGAGGAAGCGCUGGCUGCUGGGAAAGAGAGGUGUCAGGACUCCUCACACUGGGCCACAAUGGUUCCAGACCGCGAGGGCUUCAUCCGUGAAGUGGAAUUACAACGCAGCCUCUGUUGAAACGGGCUGUGAUGGCUGUGGGCAGUUGAGUAGGAAAGCACCAAGAGCCAGGGGCUUAGCUUGGGUCAAUAAACGACAGCCGACUGGCUAGGAGAAAGCCAGCAUUGUGAGGGUCCAACGGCAGUCGGCCGCGGGAGAGCCACAACUGGAACGGGAUCCUGUCAGAGCAGUGUGUCAUAUUUGUUCUGGCAGCUUCUUUGGUAAAGCCACGCUAAGCUCCAUCUGGGAUACUGUCAGGUAUGAAAACCCACUUCAUCUUCUGCAGACGCCUUUCACAGGCCUCGAGGCACUGGCGGUUAAUCUGUUUAGAUUGUGAGGCCGCCAGAGACACCGCCCCUCUGUGGAAGGCUGCCACAGCUCAGGGGGGACUCUGAUUUGCUUUAUUUCAUUUUUUUCCCCCUCUGGAAAAGCAGGCUUCUCUGAAUUAAGACUCAAUCCACUGGGCCAAGAAUUUGUGGUCGCCAUGGUAACCCUGCCUUUUCUACCUGAGAAGGUUCUGUUCCUUUCUCACAAGGCUGUUUUUUUUUUUUUUUUCUGAGACCCCACCCCAGCUAGGUCCCCCCGUGGGCUCAUAUGACCACUUUGGAGAGGGUGUUGGAUGUACAGUGUGCCAAUGUCCCUGUGGAUAGUGUCAUCCCUAUUGUCCCCUGCUGUCCUCCUUGUUUAGGCCCGACUCAAACAAUUGUUUAUAAAGUGGGCAAAAUCGGGCUUUAGCAGUCGGCCCUCCAGCCACCACAGCUCUCCUUUUCUCCUGGAGGUAAAGCUGCCAGACUUCUCCUGGAGCAGCACAGACAGCAGUUACGGUGAAGGUUCCAGAAUUCAAGGGCCUUCGUUUGAAAUGGAGCUUCGCCGCCAUUGAGUUCAUUUCCUGGGGACCUUACUGUGUCCCAUGACAGAAGCCCACAUGGUGAUGCCUUACAAAUUAAGAACUCACCUUUCUUCAGUUCUGCAUGAAGAGGAGAUGGUCCAGAGGAUGUGGCAAUGAUACAGAUACAACCAGAGAAGAAGUUGGUGUUCUUUUCUAAACCAUGGUAAAAAUAACAGGACAUCAUGUAGGAUGGGAUAGCGCCCUAGAAAUGGAGACCUGAGAAAGUUAAGCACGCAAGAUUCUCCAGCAAGUUUCCACACUUCAGAGUGAAAGCUGGAUCUUUAGACUCUCAGACCAGUGUCUAUGUGACAAACCUGCUGUCCCCCAAAAUUGAUGAAUGCCAUAAGAAUGAUCAGGAGGCAAUGAUGGAAACCACUCUGUCUCUGAUAUUUUCCCUGCAAAGAGAAGAGAAGGGAUACAGUGACUAUAGACUUGAAAUCCAGUGUAAGGGAAAGUGUACAAUAAUACUAGCAUCUGUAAGCACAGCAUCGCUUUGCAUUUGCAAAGUGGUUGCACCUGUAUUAUGUAUUUAAACUACCAGUAAUGACUGACUGGCAUCUAGAUUCAUGAACAGCUUGCAAUUGCAACUGCCUCACCAAAUGACUGUCACAUUGGGUGCUAUGGAAGAUAGUUGCUUUCUUUCACUUUCCGGGGAGUCCAAAUGGAGGAUAAUAGGGAUCGUUAUGAGAAAUAAAGGGGAGCAGCAGGCCAACGUGAAGCUGUUGUCUGUAAGGAAUGAGGGCGAGUACCAGAAGUUUAGAGGGUGAUGUCCAAGAAAUAAAAGAAUGCUCCAGGAGUCUGAGAUGAAUUCUCCACAGAUCCUUACCCGUCUGGAAGAUUAUGUAUGCCUGGGGGAGUCUCAAAAGAACCGAGGAAACGUAAACAUGAAGGAGGAUUGAGAAAAGGCUGCAAUGUUCUCUGUCCCUCAUACAGACCUAGAGGAAAAUUAUGGCAACCUGGCUGGUCCUGGGCCAGUGCUGUUCCCUUGGCUCUAUACAUCUAAGGCAUCGAAGACUCCCAAGGAUACGGAGUGACUCUGGGUAUCAGCUUAGCACAUGUUAUUUUAGGUGUUUCAACAGUGACACCAUUGAGGUAGUGUGGCUUAGUGAAGGAAUGUGGGCUUGGACGGGAUAGAAUGGGGUUGUCAUUCCACAGUUAUAAGUUAAUAUUCUUAUUAACUUGGGCAAUCAUGUGACUACUCAGUAUCCUAUUUAAAUCUUAUAAAUGCCCACUGAAGUAGGCAUGGACUACUUCUGUGUUGUGGAUACUUUUUAAGUCUGCGGAAUAGUUAUUUUGGGUGAUGAUUAAAAAGUCAUAAUGGCUAUAAAGUAUGUGUCACAUGAUAGGUGACCUAUAAAUAGCUGUAUUGUUGCUGUUAGUCCUGGUGUAGAAAAGAACUGUCAGACCGAUAAGCCCAGAGAAUUUAACCUCUCAGAGAGUCACACGGAAAAACACUGGAUAUUAAUAGUAUAGGUGAAGCAACUACACUGUCUGUAAGUGUCCAACCUUGGCUUUAACAAAUGACUAUAAAGUUUAUGGCUUAAGACAAUGUAACUCAUUUCUUCAUAGUGCUCCAGGUAUAGUAUAGUCCAUCAGGGCUUUCUGCCUCUAGUCUCUGAUGCCUAAAAUGAAAGUAUGGGCAAAGUGAGAUGCUUUUAGUCUCAUUGAAGCUGUUAUCUGAAUUAAGUUCCUGGCAAGUUGUAGGACUGGAGCUCCUGUUUAUUUGGUGGCUGCCAGGCAGAGGGUGAUCCUCCAAGUGGCUGCUUGGAUCCUUCUUAUGUACGUCACAGUUUAUAUCUUUUGCCCUCUGAGUCUCUUCUUGCUCGGAAUUUCCCCAUCUUUUCCUUUGUCUGAAUCUCUCUGCCACAUUAGGUUCACUGGAUAACUGAAGGUGAUCUUUGUGUUUUAUUGACCAUUGCCUUAUUCAUAUCUGCACAAAGACUCCUGAUCACAGUCUAGGGGUUAGGGUACAGACACAUUUGAAGGGGACAGUCUGCCUCCCAGAUUCCCUGAGGGAUGUGCAGCAAAGACAAAGCCACACCCAGAUGAAACUUAGAGCAGUGAGAAUUUGGGGGUGUGAAAGUAUGCAUAUGGGGCUAGCAGGCUGUCCCCAGAGCACCUCUGAAGGUCUAGCAGGCUAUCUCCAGAGCACCUCUGAGGGGCUAUGUGGGGCAUUGAGCUAUGCAUAUACAAGCUGGUCUCCAGUUGAGCUGAGGUCUGAACCCUGGAAAUGGUGAUAAUUCACCUUCAUGACACGGUAGGCAUUCCCUCAUGCUCCUGGAACUCUGGCCCCUGCCUAAGUUAUCGCCCCCCACAGCCCCCACAAGAGAAGCAUGGUCAGUAGUCACAUAGGCAAUGGCCCAAGCUUCUGACCUUCAGGCUAAACUCCUCCCCAGUUAUCUAGCAACAGUAUAGACCAUAAAAAGGGCUGUUCAGCCCCACCUUGCUCUCUUACCUCUUACUUGUCUCUCUUACUCCUUUGUUCUCUUACCUCUCACUUCUCUCUUCUUUUUCCUUUCUCUUUGUCUUCUCUCCUCUCUCCCUCUUACUCUCUUUCUCUCUAGCCUUUCCCCCUCUCUCUUUCUACCUUCUCUCUUUCCCCCUGCGUUUCUAUAAUAAAGCUCU
rnacentral:lncRNA from 1 species